GGGUGAUGGCGUGCCUUUUGUAGAAUGAACCGGCGAGUUACUGUAUGGAGCGAGGUUAAGCAGGAUAUGCGGAGCCGAAGCGAAAGCGAGUCUUAAGAGGGCGAGAGUUGCAUGCAGUAGACCCGAAACCGGGUGAUCUAGCCAUGACCAGGUUGAAGUUGGGGUAAAACCCGAUGGAGGACCGAACCGACCCCCGUUGAAACGUUGGCGGAUGAGUUGUGGCUAGGGGUGAAAUUCCAAUCGAACCCGGAGAUAGCUGGUUCUCCCCGAAAUAGCUUUAGGGCUAGCGUCGAGGUAAGUUGCGUGAAGGUAGAGCACUGAAUAUGUGAUGGCCCCAUCUCGGGGUACUGAGCAUAAUCAAACUGCGAAUGUCACGCCAACAUGCUCGGCAGUCAGACAGCGGGUGAUAAGGUCCGUUGUCAAGAGGGAAACAGCCCAGACCAUCAGCUAAGGUCCCAAAAUGUAUGCUAAGUGGAAAAGGAUGUGGAGAUGUACAGACAACUAGGAGGUUGGCUCAGAAGCAGCCAUCCUUUAAAGAGUGCGUAACAGCUCACUAGUCGAAUGACUCUGCGCCGAUAAUUUACCGGGGCUAAGCAUACUACCGAAGCUAUGGAUCCCAAGGGAUGGUAGGGGAGCGUUCCAUGAACGGAGAAGUACGACCGAAAGGACGUGUGGAGAUCAUGGAAGAGAGAAUGCCGGUGUGAGUAGCGGAACGUGGGUGAGAAUCCCACGCACCGAAAACCCAAGGUUUCCAGAGGAAGGUUCGUCCGCUCUGGGUAAGUCGGGACCUAAGGCGAGGCCGAAAGGCGUAGUCGAUGGACAACAGGUAGAGAUUCCUGUACCCGUAUAUAUGUGAAGGAAUGACGGAGAGAGGAAGCUGCAGCCAGCGGCUGGAAGAGCUGGUGCAAGCGAGAUAUCGGGAUGGCAGGCAAAUCCACCAUCCGAAACGAGAAGGCGUGAAGCGUACGGAAAGCUACGGCGAGUACGGAAGGCAGUGGAGGAACUUCCAAGAAAAGUUUCUAACGUAAAGUAUAUAUGGCCCGUACCGAAAAUGGACACACAUGGGUGAGGAGAGAAUCCUAAGGUGAGCGAGAGAACUAUAGCUAAGGAACUCUGCAAAAUGACUCCGUAACUUAGGGAGAAGGAGUGCUCAUAGAGAUAUGAGCCGCAGUGAAACGGCCCAAGCGACUGUUUACCAAAAACACAGCUCUCUGCUAAGCCGCAAGGCGAAGUAUAGGGGGUGACGCCUGCCCGGUGCUGGAAGGUUAAGGGGAGGGGUUAACGCAAGUGAAGCCCUGAACUGAAGCCCCAGUAAACGGCGGCCGUAACUAUAACGGUCCUAAGGUAGCGAAAUUCCUUGUCAGGUAAGUUCUGACCCGCACGAAAGGCGUAACGAUUUGGGCGCUGUCUCAGCUGUAGACUCGGUGAAGUCUUAGUACCUGUGAAGAUGCAGGUUACCCGCGACUAGACGGAAAGACCCCAUGGAGCUUCACUGCAGGUUGAUAUUGGGAUUUGAUGCAGCAUGUACAGGAUAGGUAGGAGGCAAAGAGAUGGAUACGCCAGUAUUCAAGGAGCCGCUGUUGGGAUACUACCCCUGUUGUAUUGGAUUUCUAACCGGACGACGUAGAGCCGUUGACGGGACAGUGUCAGUCGGGCAGUUUGACUGGGGCGGUCGCCUCCCAAAGAGUAACGGAGGCGCCCAAAGAUACCCUCAGCUUGGAUGGAAACCAAGCGCAGAGUGCAAAGGCAAAAGGGUGUUUGACUGCGAGACCCACAAGUCGAGCAGGGACGAAAGUCGGGCUUAGUGAUCCGG
rnacentral:rRNA from 1 species